UACGGGGGGGGCAAGCGUUGUUCGGAAUUACUGGGCGUAAAGGGCUCGUAGGUGGCCAACUAGGUCAGACGUGAAAUCCCUCGGCUUAACCGGGGAACUGCGUCUGAUACUGGAUGGCUUGAGUUCGGGAGAGGGAUGCGGAAUUCCAGGUGUAGCGGUGAAAUGCGUAGAUAUCUGGAGGAACACCGGUGGCGAAGGCGGCAUCCUGGACCGAUACUGACGCUGAGGAGCGAAAGCCAGGGGAGCAAACGGG
rnacentral:rRNA from 1 species